AAAGUAGGAUGCAAGUGAGGGAAGUACGACAUGUUAAUGAUCUACAAUGUCCACGGAGAAUAGGAAAUCUACGUCUUCCCGACUAAUUGUGGCUGCUAUAGAUUUUGGAACAACAUAUUCAGGAUAUGCGUAUUCAUUCAAGUCAAACUGGGCAAAGGUUUUUAUGAACAAGUGGGAAGGUGGUCAAUUGACGUCCCAUAAAGCCCCAACAGCUCUUCUGUUAAAUCCAGACAAAUCGUUCAAUUCAUUUGGAUAUCAGGCGGAGAAAACAUACGCAGAAAUAGCUGAAAACGACGAUGAUGAGGGUCGAUCGUGCAAGGAAUACUAUUUUUUCCAUCGAUUUAAAAUGAUGUUAAAAUCAAGUUUAACCAAGAGAGUUCACAGAGAGACAAAGUGCAACGCCGAAAAUGGACGGGAGGUAAAGGCAAUGGAUGUUUUCACCUAUAGUAUACGAUAUUUAAAGGAUCAUCUUUUAGCUGAGAUAUUUAGGAGUCAUUUGGGUGAUGAAGUGAAAGUCACUGACAUAAGCUUUGUUUUAACCGUUCCAGCAAUAUGGGACGACACAGCAAAAAUGUUUAUGCGCGAAGCUGCUAUAGCGGCAGGGAUACCCGACAAUCAGCUUGAUAUAGCUCUAGAGCCUGAAGCAGCCUCGAUUUACUGUCAUUUAAUGAAUUUAGAUGAAAUCCAGGAAAACAACAGAACAGACAGCUUUACAAGAAAGUCAGGUGUGAAAUAUAUGGUGGUGGACCUCGGAGGCGGCACAGCAGAUAUAACAGUACAUCAAUUACAAGAGAACAAUACUUUAGCAGAAAUUGUUCCAGCCAGUGGUGGAGAAUGGGGUGGAACCAAUAUUGAUAAAGCUUAUAGACAGUUCUUGGAGGAUAUCUUCGGAGAAAAUGUGCUAAAAAUAUUCAAAACUGAUCCAGUUAAUGCCGUAGACUAUUUUGAAUUCUGGCAAAACUUUGAAGUCAAAAAGAGAGAACCUUUAAGAACCAAGACCACCGAUAUAAUACGUUUAAAUAUUCCAGUAGCAAUAGUUGAAAUAGCAAAAAAUCAAAUGCAGAUAAAGGGAACGAACUUUGAAGUAUUGAAAACGUGUUUAGGAGAAUCAAAAUAUCGUGAAACGGGUAUAUGUUGUGAAGCUGGGAAGCUGGUUUUGCCCAUUCCAAGUUUUGAAAGUUUCUUUAGUCCCACAACAAAUGAACUCAUUGAUCAUUUGUCAAAAAUGUUUAUAGAUGAACUCGAUUCAGAUGUUAAAACAAUGUUGUUUGUUGGUGGCUUUUCUGAAUGCGAGUUAGUGCGAGAGCGACUCAAGCGCCAUUUUGGAAACACCAAACGUUUAGUGUUUCCAUGUGAAGCAAGCCUUGCAGUCUUGAAAGGGGCAGUGUAUUUUGGUCACUGCAAAGACAUGAUAUCGCGCCGAGUUGCAAGAUUUACUUACGGGUUUCAAAUUUGGCCAAAAUUUGACAAAUCCAAAUAUUCUUCAGACAGAAAGAAAAUGGUGAAUGGAGAAGAAAGAUGUCGAGACGUUUUCUUAAAAAUUGUUACCAAAGGAGAUCCAAUCACACCAGGUUUAAAGAAGUCCCAAAUUUUUAAACCACUUGAACAAGGCGAAAAUGUGCUUGAGUGUGGCGUUUUCGUAUCAAAUCAGAAAGAUCCAAAGUACGUUGAUGACCCGGGUUGUGUAAAAUUAGGGACCCUUGCAGUCCCACUAACAAAAUACGAACGCCAGACAAACGCAGAAAUCGAGGAAUCGAUCAUUUUCGGGGAGACAUAUAUCAAAGUUAUUGCGUAUAAUUGUAGAACGAACGAGGAACACGAAAGCAUUUUUGAUCUUCUCUCCCCUAAAAUUCACCUGCCAAGCAAUCACAUUGAACUUCGAUAGUCGGUACCUGGUUAACUCCAGGAAAAUUUCAAACAUGGUUUCAAUUACCUCAAUAAAUACUUAUUCUUGCUUCUUGUUUCUAAAGGCUAUUAUCUAUACUUGUUGUUAAUUUUGAUAUAUUUAUUCCAAACUAUAAAUCCUUGUAAAAUAUUGUCGGUUUGCACAUGUAAAAUCUUGAGUGGGAGACUCUGCGUUCUAUAGACAUUACAUCAUACGCUGACAUUUUAAGCAGGAAAGAAACCAGGUGCUAUUAUUGGAUCAUCAUUCAAUGUUUUUCAACCUUAGGACUGCAUCUGCAUCACCUCUCUCGUGAUUUGUAGAAGGUGGAGUUGCAACCACUUUAUUUAGUGUAAUCUUUUGAAAAAGUGAACGAAGAUAGAAUAAUAUGGUACAUGUAUGAUAUUAUAAAAUAUAUUGAUAUAAUAUCUCAUAUGACACAAAAUUGAAUCAAACCAUUUAAUAUGAUAUUAAUUUAUGAUUUGAUACAAUGUUAUAUGAUACAGAUUAAAUCAUAUGCUAUGACGGG
rnacentral:misc_RNA from 1 species